UAACCUCUAAUAUACUAAUCGUUAGUGCGGACGGGUGAGUAACACGUUGGAACUGCCCAAAGUAAGGGAUAAGCCACCGAAAGGGUGGUCUAAUACCUUAUAGUAUCCAUCUCGUAUGGAUUAAAGCUUUAUGCGCUUUGGGAGGGGCCUGCGUUUGAUUAGCUAGUUGGUGAGGUAAAAGCUCACCAAGGCGACGAUCAAUAGCUGGUUUGAGAGGAUGACCAGCCACACUGGGACUGAGAUACGGCCCAGACUCCUACGGGAGGCAGCAGUAAGGAAUCUUCCACAAUGGGGCAACCCUGAUGGAGCAAUACCGCGUGCAGGAUGAAGCGUUUCGGCGUGUAAACUGCUUUUAUCACCGAAGAUUAUGACUGUAGGUGAAGAAUAAGGACCGGCUAACUACGUG
rnacentral:rRNA from 1 species